CUGCACAUUGAUUUCCACUCAAGUCAAGAAGAGGUAACCAACUUUGAAACGUCUCACGUAGGAAAACGUAAACAUGUCAUUAUAGGACAUUUAUUAAGCUCUCAGAGCUUCACAGAGUCUCUUAACUGACGCGGUUUCAGUCGGUUCGUGUUUAUUCGGAGUAUUUAUGUCGCAUGUUCUUCACUGACACGUCCGCUCCCGCUCUUUUGAGUGGCUGUAGCUAGCUGUCAGCUAGCUAACAGUGAUGUCCUCGCUGUGGACAGAGCGACAGGGACAGCGAGAGGGACAGCGACAGGGACAGGGACAGGUGGGAGAGCUGAGCCACAAGAGCAGAGAAGAGCUCCAGGAGCUGCUGCUCAGACAAGAAAAGAUCCUCUCUAACAAGAGGUUAUUGAGGUCUCUUCCUGACAAAGGUGAAAAGAUAUCAGAGUUUGCAGAGAGAGUGCGUCUUGCCAUUGAGCAUCGUGAUGAAGAGGAGAGGAGACAGAGCUUGGUGUCUGCUGCCAGGACAGACUUACAGUCCAAGUACCAGCAAGCCUUCUCUAUGCAAACAUGUGCCGUCCCCAACUCACCAGCUGCCUCCAACCAAAGCAGGCAAAGUGAGUCUGCAGCAGGCAGCGUGCUCCAUGACAUGGAGGCCUCACCUGUCGGGGCUCGUGAGCAGGAACAGACUGCUUUGGACGAGCAACAGGACCAGUUUCUCUCCAGAGCAGCUGCCGGUGAAACCAUGGAGACGACUGCUGCUGGGGCCUCCGUGAACUGUGAGGAGACAAAAGAGGGUGAUCUUGUUGAGGCCUUGGAAAGGGUCAGAGUUUCUGAAACUGGUCUCAGAAGCGAGUCUAAAGAGCCAUUACACAGCACAGGAAGAGACAGUUAUUUUCUCAGAAAGCAGACACCAAAAAAGCCUCACUAUGUAACUGUCCUGGAAAGAACAGAGAAGACUUCAGGUCCCAGGAGACAGAAAUUCAAAACAAAUCAGCUUCCGCACAAAGAUGACAUUUCUCCAUCAGGUUCCUCGUCACCCAGCCAGUCUUCUGAAGGCUCAUCGCCACUCGCUGUCCAGGCCAGGAGGGAGAGGGACAGAAGACACCUGGACGACAUUACUGCAGCCAAACUACCUCCACUCCAUCACAGCCCAGCCCAGCUGCUGUCUCUGGAGGAGUCGGCCGUACUCUUAAAAGAACAAACCAAGAAGCAGCAGGAGUUGCAGGCCAAGCUGGCAGCCCAGAAACUGUCUGAGGGACUGAAGAUCUCUAUGGGGAGCUACACUCCUGACGGCGGCCCCAUGGCUGCCUACAGAGAGGUUCAUGAUGAAGGAGCCCAGCUCUCCUCAGAAGACGACUGAUCCUGGAAGGCAGGAGCUGGGGAAACCAGCGUGACCUUGGCCCGCGGGGAAACAGGCUUUGGACCUUGCAAUCAGGACGCAGUAAACAGGAUUUUCACUCCAAGGACAGGAAUUCUUUACAGAGAAAAGGGCUCUUUGCAUGUUGUGAAGCCAUAGUUAGUGUCCCACACUCAGGAAGCUGAGAGGCAGUUUGGGAGAGUGGUUCACGUAAUUGCCAUUCAAUUGGUAAUGGGAUCAUUUGUUUCUGUGUCCUGCAGGAAUAAGAAUACCUGUGACUGACUCUUUGAGUUAGAAGCAUAUACAACAUGAUGAAGGAAAUGCUUCUCGUCCGUUUACUGGAACCAGUCGUGUGGUGACUUUCUGAGACGUAGUUCUCAUCAUUGUUGUUAAGCUGCUGUGUUGGACCAUGUUUUAAAUACAUUUGAUUUUAAACGACAUCUGAAGGUCACCGUCAGUUCUUUCACAUGUCUAUCAGGGAGGGCUGAGUAAUAGAACCUGCUGAGUUCCUGCUCUGACGACGUUCCAAGCGAGCUGAGCCAAAACUAUGUGUGAUGUCAUCAGACUGCCAUCCACUGAUUGGUCAGAGUGUCGUCACUGGAAGAGUCGUGAGUGAGACGUCCGACAGGAGAAUCAAAGCCAGCAAUGUCCAACUGUAGAUCGAAGUUCAAAAGACUUAAAAAUCCUGAAAACAUGCGAUCAGCCCCAACAUUUAUGAAAGCAGAUGUCCACGAUGUCAAUAUUUAACAUUUAGAGACAGCACUGCCACCAUCAUGCAUCAUGCAUCCGCUCAUACAGGAACUACUGAACCAUUCUGUGAACAAAUCUUUUUAAUCAACUGAUUCUAAUGAUUGAGUUGCACUGAAAACAACUGCUUUACAAGUCACUGGUUUGUGUUGCGUCUAAAACAAAGUCACAUCAGUUUAACGCAGCCAUGCAGUGAUGGCUCCACCCACGUUGAGGAGGUAUGCUAACGGUAAACCAUACCAAACCGCGUGGAGCCGUGCU